UAGGGAAUCUUCCGCAAUGGACGAAAGUCUGACGGAGCAACGCCGCGUGAGUGAAGAAGGUUUUCGGAUCGUAAAACUCUGUUGUCAGGGAAGAACAAGUACGGGAGUAACUGCCCGUACCUUGACGGUACCUGGCCAGAAAGCCACGGCUAACUACGUGCCAGCAGCCGCGGUAAUACGUAGGUGGCAAGCGUUGUCCGGAAUUAUUGGGCGUAAAGCGCGCGCAGGCGGCCUUUUAAGUCUGAUGUGAAAG
rnacentral:rRNA from 1 species